rnacentral:rRNA from 1 species
AUGUUGCAACCGGGUAAUUCAUCUGGAUCUUCAAGCUCUAGGUCUUCUAGAAGGGUGUACAAGUCAGUUAGAGAUGGUAGAAGCUUAGAUCCACCAGAGCUGAGGUGUGCUUGCAAGGUUGAGGCGAGGAAGAUGAUGUCUCGCACCACACGGAAUCCAGAUCGAGAAUACCUUUCAUGUGGAAGCACUCCAGGAAGAUGUAGCAUUUGGAUUUGGAGAGAUAUAUUAAUGGAGUACGUUGAGGAAAUGCUGGAUUAUUGUGGAGCGCCACUUAAGGAGAUGCUUGAUGAUGCAAACAGAAAGCUUCUCGAUCAAGCUAGAUUAAUUAAUUCCCUGAGCUUGAAGAUUGAACAAGAUUCUAGUGAUAGAGAGCAGCAGCUUGGAGAGGUCAUAGGUUGUAUAACAAAGCUUGAAGGAUCAGUGAGAAGGUUGAAGAUGUUCAUAUGGGGAACAAUCCUUUUGGUAUCAACUUGGUUAGCAAUUGGAGGAUCUUCUUCAAGUCUGGUGACUAUACUAUUAGCUGUAACUUUAAUUUAUCUGGUUGUAGGGUAA